CCCCCACCACCCUUCUCAUCCUUCUUCUCCCGCCGUACAUUUGCAGGGAAAAAACUGAAAAAGAGGGGGGAAAAUAAAUAGGUGUAGCACUGUACGCCGCGCAUAUUAGAGUAAGCCCUUAAUAAAUAGUGGGUGUUUGAAUUGAAUAUUGCAGUGAAGUGGGAGGGGCAACUCGGAAGUCUCGAAGCUUCAGCAGAAAAGCGAGAUUAGGGUUUUCUUUAGCUUUAUGCGAUAAACUCCAUCAUCCACUCUCGAAGCAGCAGCAGCAGCAGCAGCUUUGAGCGUUUGCGCGUCUGUGUGAGAGAGAUUCAGAGAGAGAGAGAGAUAAAGUGAGAGGGAGGGGGAAAGAUGGUGAAUCCGCGGUGCUUUUUAGACGUAAGCAUUGGAGGUGAGCUCGAAGGAAGGAUAGUGGUGGAGCUAUACAAAGAUGUGGUGCCCAAAACGGCGGAGAAUUUCAGGGCUCUCUGCACCGGCGAGAAGGGCAUUGGUCCAAAGACUGGUGCUCCUCUCCAUUACAAGGGUGUUCGUUUUCAUCGCAUCAUCAAAGGUUUUAUGAUACAAGGUGGAGACUUAUCUGCUGGGGAUGGUACUGGGGGAGAAUCCAUAUAUGAACUGAAGUUUGAAGAUGAGAAUUUUGAAUUAAAACACGAGAGAAAAGGAAUGUUGUCGAUGGCUAAUUCUGGGCCUAACACCAAUGGAUCUCAAUUUUUUAUUACUACCACACGAACUUCUCAUCUAGAUGGAAAGCAUGUUGUAUUUGGGAAAGUAAUUAAAGGAAUGGGUGUGGUUCGUUCCAUUGAGCAUGUUACUACUGGUGAUGGUGAUUAUCCCACAGUUGAUGUUAUUAUUGCGGAUUGUGGAGAAAUUCCUGAAGGGGCAGAUGAUGGAAUAUGCAAUUUUUUUAAAGAUGGUGAUACUUAUCCUGAUUGGCCAGCUGACCUUGAUGAGAAGCCAAAUGAAAUUUCUUGGUGGAUGACUGCUGUGGACUCUGCCAAAGCUUUUGGGAAUGAACACUACAAAAAGCAAGACUAUAAGAUGGCUCUUAGGAAGUACCGGAAGGCUUUGCGCUAUUUGGAUGUAUGCUGGGAGAAAGAGGACAUUGAUGAAGAGAAGAGCUCCUAUUUGAGAAAGACAAAGUCACAGAUUUUUACAAAUAGUUCUGCUUGUAAGUUGAAGUUGGGAGAUUUGAAAGGAGCAUUAUUGGAUACUGACUUUGCGAUGCGUGACGGGGAGGAUAAUGUGAAAGCUUUGUUUCGCCAAGGCCAGGCGUACAUGGCACUUAAUGAUGUAGAUGCUGCAGUUGAAAGCUUCAAGAAAGCGUUAGAGUUGGAGCCAAAUGAUGGUGGAAUUAAGAAGGAACUUGCUGCUGCAAGGAAGAAGAUUGCUGAUAGGCGUAAUCAGGAGAGAAAGGCUUAUUCCAGAAUGUUCCAAUAGCAGUUUAUGCAUUCUUCUGUCUUAAGGAGGCUUGUUUUUCUGUGAACCGGGUUUUGAACAGGGCGAAGGAUAAGUACCAGACCCCUUGAGUGAAUACAACAUACACAAUGCGAGCUUAACACAUUUUUGUUUUAGACGGUUAUUAUGUGUUGAAAAGAGUACGUUAAGUAGUGUCAUUGGUCGGCAGUUGAUUUACCAUGCGUAUAAAUUCUGUAAUCAUCUAAACAGUUUUGCUACAACUGUGCGGAACUACUUAUUUGGCAUAGAAUGGAUCAUUUCUUCUGGUCCAAUUUCUGAUUGUAGUUUUGUCACUUUAUGCUGAUCUUUUUUAGACUCUGUCGAGUCGAGGAUUA